rnacentral:rRNA from 1 species
GACGAACCGUGCAAACGUUAUUCGGAAUCACUGGGCUUAAAGGGCGCGUAGGCGGGUAACCAAGUCCGGGGUGAAAGCCUCCAGCUUAACUGGAGAAGUGCCUCGGAUACUGGUCGUCUCGAGGAGGGUAGGGGCAUCUGGAACUAGCGGUGGAGCGGUGAAAUGCGUUGAUAUCGCUAGGAACUCCGGUGGCGAAGGCGAGGUGCUGGACCCUUUCUGACGCUGAGGCGCGAAAGCCAGGGGAGCGAACGGGAUUAGAUACCCCCGUAGUCC